rnacentral:lncRNA from 1 species
AUACAUGCAAACACACUCCUUUCUCUGUUUGUCUUGCUAGAAAGACACUCUACUUUCUCUCCACAUAGUUGUAUGUGGCCACAGCAUAGCCCCUGAAUUUACUUACAGCCUAGCUCCAGCUACACAGAAAGACUUAUUAGUUGCCUCUACGUUACAGUUCCAAAGGGAGACACUAAUUGAUUGGUUUUUGUUUCGGUGGCCACCUCUGAAUCAUCAGCUAUGACCAGUGGUUUCAGAGUCACAUAAAAGAAGCCUGGCUUCUAGGGAUCACUAGUCCAGAUGAAGCCAGAUGACAAGGAUCUGAGGACAAACAGAAAACAAGGUAAACAGCAAAAAACGAAUGCAUCACAUCUUA